UUCUAAAAGCGCGAGGGGGGAGGUUUGGGGGGUUCGGGGGUGCCCGCGCGGCUACCUUUCUAGGGCUGAAGCUGGCGGCAGUGGUGCCAGCAGGGGAGGCCCGGCCAAGAAGACCCUCUGGUGCUGAAAAUGUCGGAACGCAGCCUGCAGGAGAGGUCGCCGAGAAGACCCUCUGGUGCUAAAGAUGGCGGGAAAUCUGCCGGGGAGGGCGAGGCGAGAAGACCCUCCGUCGCUGAAAAUGGCCGACGCAGCCUGCAGGAGUGGGCGGGGCCGAGAAGACCCUCUGGCGCCAUGGGAACGCUGCGGGGAGGGCGUGGCCGAGAAGGCCCUCUGGUGCUGAAGAUGGCGGAACACCUAUAUCAAGGCAGUAUCUGCCCGGCUCCGGGGAGGCUCAGCGACCUGGGACCCGCUGUUGACUAUGCGACACACACCAAGAGCAGAUGGAUUUCGAGUGAUUUCUCCUUUCUUCCUCCUAAAAUGUCCCCAAAUAAACUUGAAAGGGGAAGUAUAGCAAAAUAAAGAACGAAAAACUGCCUUGAAGAAGGGCAUUGUUCUAUGAUCGCUUCACUUAUUAUCUGCUCCUUUAUUGACUCGUUAUAAUCCAGUUUCCACUGGGUGUAUAAUUCGAUGACAAAAGAAAAAGAUGUGCUCAGUGCUAGAGCACCCCAGAACAACCUUCCUCACCAGCCCCUUGACUGUGGCAAGUUGGAGUAGAGGAAGUUUUCCUAAAUGGGGGUUGGGGAUUGAUUCAUCAAAAAGGAAGAAGGAGACACUAUCCUGGAUAUUUUAAUAGUAACUGGAACAAAGAUGACUCGAACCCCAUCAAAUGAAACAAUACUAUUUUCAUUCAGUUGAUUGCAAAGUGUCUUCGAUUAAUAACUUGGCACUUAUUUAAAAAGAUUUAACAGAGGUGAAGCCGAAAAUUUUGUACUGACAACACGUCAUGAGAUAACAGCAUCUUUUGUUUAAAAUAACUUAAUACACUAGAAAAA
rnacentral:lncRNA from 1 species